UGCACCAAGCAGAGUGCACAGAGCUUUUUAUAAUUAAGGAAAUUAGCACCAUUGUUUACUGAGGCAGGACAGGUGCCCUGAGAGUAAAACCUAUGGAAGUCUCCAACUAGUGAAAAUAGGAAUUGAUUUGAAAGAAGAGAAACUAAACUGAGACUGUGGCUAUGUAAACAGACUUUUAUGAGAACUAUUUCCCGGUUUUGGAAGACCACGUGUGUUGGAAUGCUGGUUAGAGGCUAGUUAAGCUGCUUACAGGUAAUAGGAGCCAGCACAGCACCCCAGUCUGGCAGUAGAACUUGGAUGCUUCAUCAGCAUGUAAAAUGCUAGUUACAGAGUCAUGGAGGCUUACACCAUUGUUAGAAGCUCUAUAAGGUCAAGUUGCAAAGUAGUCUUCCAGGCUGUUGGGAGUUCCAGAAUUGUGGAACACCUACCAAGGAAAUCUGGAAUAGAGUCAUCCCAUGAGAGAGGCUGUAUAUAUAUACUACACGUGACAAAGUUGGAGGGGCGGAGCUGUUCAUGGUCACUGGAUCCCAGAUGAUAGUCCCACAAGCCCCAGAUGCUGAUCAUGGUAUAGUGCUUUCCCUCCUAGGUUUAGCUGUUGCUUUGAUCCAGUCUUCCCUUGCUAUACCCCAUUCCUCUCCGUUGGAAUGGAAAUGUUUACUCUAUAUGCCUUUGUACAUUGGAAGUAUGUAACUUGUUUUCUGAAAUUAUAGAAACUCACGGUUAAGACCUUGCCUGGCAUCUCAGAGCCUUUGGGCUUUUGAGCAAUGUUGGGACAAUUAAAGACUGUGGUGACUUUUGAAGUCAGACUGAAUUUAUUUUGCUUUAUGAGCCUAUGGGAGUCAGAGAUGAAAUGUAAUGGUUUAAAAGUGAUUUGUUUGACAGUCAGGUUGACAAGGAGUGUACUUGUGAUAAUUAAUCUUCAUUGUCAACUUGACUGGUUAUGUCUGUGGGGGCAUUUCCAGAGAGGGUUAACUGAAGAGGGAAGACCCAUCCUAAGCAUGGGCUGGGUGCUUGGCCUGAGUACCAGCAUUCAUCUCUGUGCUUCCUGACUGCAGACACAGUGUGACCAGCCACCUCAUGCUCCUAUCACCAUGCCUUCCCUGCCAUCAUGGAUUCUGCCCUUCAAACUGUGAGCCAAAAUAAAUCCUUCUUCCCUUAAGUUGCUUCUUGUCAAGUGUCUUGUUGCAGCGACAUAAAGAGACAGCUAAUUUAUAGCCUAGAAGUAAACAAUGAUGGACUUUUUAGAUAUUUCUGUUUGAGACCAAAAUAUUUCCUUUGGUUUUAUUCCUUGUAUAAUUGCAAACCAUACACAAAAUUUGUUACUCUUUAAAGCACAAAGAACUAGUUUCCGGUGUUUAUCUUUUCAUAGUUUUCUACCCAUAAUGUCUCUCUGCAAGAACUACUGUAUGUUUUUAAAGAGAAGUGAACUUUAGGUUUCUAGUCCUAAAGAUUAUUCAAAUAACUG
rnacentral:lncRNA from 1 species